AAUAUGCUCCACACAAGAACACAUACAGUACAUCUAUAUUGCGCUUCUUAGUUUCAAACACUAGGUGGUGCUGCUUAGAGAGAGCAGCCUCUCCACAACACAAGCGACAAAAGUCAAUGAAGAAUUCUAGUGACGUCACAGUACAUAUUGUUAUAUGGUGCCGACUGAUUGCACAUUCAAUAUUGGGCUUUUUUUUACUCGCAAAACAAGACGAUUAAAGAAUAUAACUGUUGAAAACACUAUACUGAAACCAAACAGUCAAUUUUGUACGUCGUUACCAGAAAGUUAAGAAGUGUCCUGCUUACCUUUUCUUGCUAAUACAGCCAAAAAUACUCUUGGUUUGUUUGUUUUACCAGACGGUACGCCUAGUUUCCUCUCGUGAGAAGCCUUUACCGGAAAAGGUGCUAGUGUAUUUUAUGGCCAAUAAAGCGUGUUAUUUUUUUAUAUUGUGUAGAUAUGCAGGAAAGUAGUGGUCACAGUUUUCAUUUUGGAAGGAAGUUUGCAUAAUCGAGGAGCCAAGGAGUCCAGAGGGCAUGACAAUGGGCAUUUGGUCAAGGUCUUCGAUUAGAUGUCCGCUUAACAUGUCAGAGCCCAGCUCCUUUUGUAACACCAGAGAGGAUCCAGGGAGCCUCCCACUGAAAAGGCCUUGGAGAAAGUGGCGACCGAUGAGGUACCAGGGUGGAUGGGAGAGGAGUUGGCAUUGCCAUGUCUGUGAGAAGUGUGCUCAUGGCCAUGUACCCCGUGACCGUGCUCCUCCACGUCCCAACGGUCCGGACAGCGGCGGCGUGAGUUCAUGAAGAAGUUGGAGACGGUGGAGAGCUCCAGGCCCAGCUGAUGAGAGAUGGUGAGCUGCAUCUCCUUGGAGGGCCUGCGGUUCUCUCUGAAGAUGGCUACCAAGAUGGAGUGUGGUCCUCUCAGCCGUUAACCACAGAUUUGACUUUGCUUACCUAGAAGAUGCUGUUACAAGCAGCUUACACCGUCACUUUCUGCAAUGCCUUUCUUCCCCCGGCCCUCCGUCUCCCUCAUACUUAUCAAUUAUUAAGGUUGGUAUUGAUCCUUUCACUAGCCUGCCUCUAUCAGGCUGUUCACACAAAGCGCAGACCUGGCUGCCUUCAUUCAAUCAAUGGCAUCUCACAGCCUUGCAUGUACUGUUCUUAUAUUCCAGCUGACAGUUUUGCUUUUCACAAUAUAAACCAGGCACUAUACGUACACUACUUUUGUUUAUCUUGAAUCAUCCUUCAUGAAUGACAUGAAUCUUUGAUAAGGGAGCCAAGUUUGAUUGGCAUGGCAAGAUGCCUCUAAUAUGAGUGCAGGGAGGAUGGGAAACGGCUUGGUCGGCGCUGCAUCAUCUGAUCCAUUAUUUCUUUUGUUUUGCUCGGACUUCCCGAAGCUAAAACCACCUGACUGCCUGUUGCCAGGUUAGCCAGCAAAGUCAGGUUUUUAUGAUGUUACUGUCAUACUGCAGAGCGGGGGGAGAAAAUAUAGAGAAAGAAGGAGGGGUGUUGGGAAACAGCACUAUUGAUCUCCAAUGUGCAAAGCUCGGCAAACACAAAAAGGACAGAGUUACACUAUUAAUGACACUCACAACACCGACUGCUAAUCCCUCUUUAUCUAUCUAUUCAUCUAUCUUUCUAUCUUUGCUGUCUAUAUCAUAGGUAAAGCUCAAUUUUCACUGUAUACAAUGCUGAGGUAUUCAUUAAUUUAACAUUUUAUGUAUUUUUUAUUGAGGUUGUCAUUGGAGAACACUAACAUUUAGAUCCAUAUAUCGAAAUGUCUUAGCAACACUAUAAGACAA